AACGAACGCUGGCGGCAUGCCUAACACAUGCAAGUCGAACGAGACCUUCGGGUCUAGUGGCGCACGGGUGCGUAACGCGUGGGAACCUGCCCUUAGGUUCGGAAUAACUCCCCGAAAGGGGUGCUAAUACCGGAUAAUGUCUUCGGACCAAAGAUUUAUCGCCUUUGGAUGGGCCCGCGUUGGAUUAGCUAGUUGGUAGGGUAAAAGCCUACCAAGGCGACGAUCCAUAGCUGGUCUGAGAGGAUGAUCAGCCACACUGGGACUGAGACACGGCCCAGAAUCCUACGGGAGGGAGGAAUGGGGAAUAUUGGAACAAGGGGGGAAGGCUGAACCCGGCAAGGCGGGGUAGGGAUGGAGGGCCUAGGGUUGUAAAGCUCUUUUACCCGGGAUGAUAAUGACAGUACCGGGAGAAUAAGCUCCGGCUAACUCCGUG
rnacentral:rRNA from 1 species